AUUGAACGCUGGCGGCAGGCCUAACACAUGCAAGUCGAACGAGUGGCGGACGGGUGAGUAUUGUCUGGGAAACUGCCUGAUGGAGGGGGAUAACUACUGGAAACGGUAGCUAAUACCGCAUACCAUCAGAUGUGCCCAGAUGGGCGUUGCUAGUUGGUGGAGUAACGGCUCACCAGGGCGACGAUGCCUAGCUGGUCUGAGAGGAUGACCAGCCACACUGAAACUGAGACACGGUCCAGACUCCUACGGGAGGCAGUAGUGGGGAAUAUUGCACAAUGGGCGGAAGCCUGAUGCAGCCAUGCCGAGUGUAUGAAGAAGGCCUUCGGGUUGUAAAGUACUUUCAGCGGGGAGGCGUUACCCGCAGAAGAAGCACCGGCUAACUCCGUGCCAGCAGCCGCGGUAAUAC
rnacentral:rRNA from 1 species